UGCUGUACUAAUAGCCUCAGCC
rnacentral:siRNA from 1 species